UUAUAUGCUGCUCUGUUCCGGCACUGGAAGGCUCAGAAGCUUAAGCUGUCGUGUGCUUGAUGAACUGGGGAAUGGAUGGACCAAGGUAUUUAUAGGCCGCUUCUUGGGUCUCCCAAGUGUGCAGAGUACAAAUCCUACAUGAAGCAAGAAUAAAGGCUUCCUGAAUUAUUGUAGCAAGUGAUUGAUGGCACGGUGCAGUUGGAUGCUUCUUACAGAAUUGGAUGCCUUGUAGCCUGGCAGGAGGUGCAACUUACCGGACGCGAAGUUUUCCAUUCGAAAUGUUUGAGGUAUAUUAUUCCCUGAGUCAUUAACGCACAAUGGCACCAGGAAGCUUCCGAAGGUUUGCUGCCUGGUUUCUGUUGGUGUCUGGAUGAUCUCUCCCCCUCCGACGUAGGGGACACGGCUAUAGCUUGUGUUGCGUUUGGCAAGUUGCCAUGACGUCUUUUUUGUUUUUUUUUCGUUGAUCCUAUGGGAUUUAUAAUAAUUAAGUUGCAUGUGUCAAGGGUGUCUUGUACAGUACUUUGUUUCAAACUCCCUCCGUCCCAUUACGUCCUAAAUUAUAGGACGGAGGGAGUAGUUACUAAAUAUUAGACGGAGUAGUUCCUAAAUAUUUGUUUUUUUAGAGAUUUCAAAUAGACUACCACAUACCUAUGAAUAUAGACAUAUUUUAAAGUGUAGAUUCACUUAUUUUGUUUUAUUUUGUUUUGUAUGUAGCCAUUUGUUGAAAUCUCUAGAAAGACAAAUAUUUAGGAAUGGAGAGAGUACUCUGUUUCAUACUCCCUCCGUCCCAUUACGUCUUAAAUUAUACUCACUCCCUCCGUUCGGAAAUACUUGUCGUAGAAAUGCAUAAAAUGGAUGUAUCUAAAACUAAAAUACGUCUAGAUACAUUCAUUCUUUUGACAAAUAUUUUCGGACGGAGGGAGUAGGACGGAGGGAGUAGUUUUUGGGAUAUUGUAUCAGUAAGUGCCUUUGUUUCGUACUUCUUUUUGUUGAGGGACUAUUUUCUUUUUUAAGGGUGCCAGCACUUCAUUGAUUCAUUUGAACAUUAAGAGGGAUGCGUAUUGGGCAUGCGGAGAAAUGAGCGACAAGUGAUGACCCUGAUCAAGCAAAAGGGAGUGUUUGGCUAGAUUAUGUGCAUCACAUUCGAUGUUCUACUUUCAAAAGUAAAACUGCACUACUAAAGUUGGACCUAUAAAGUGAAAUCUCUCUAAUCACUGUCAAAUAAGCUCCUUUAGUUCUGUCUUGUAUA
rnacentral:lncRNA from 1 species